rnacentral:lncRNA from 1 species
GUGCUGUGCAGUUGUAAAGUAUUACAUAAAGUUCUUGAUGCGAUGCUAGAAUCCAUUUAGCACUACUUUACCCAUAACCGUAAAACAUGGCUUUAUCAAUUUGCCUAUUAGCAUGCAUAAUUAUUAAAGUAUCAACAACCUUAGUUCUCUUAGAAUAGGUUUACCAUAUUUGUCAAGAAAUUGAUAUAUUGGUUCCUGGAUUAAUCAUCCGAGAUUCUUGCAUUUCUUUAUCUUUCUU